rnacentral:lncRNA from 10 species
CUUUUUUUUUUUUUUUUUCUAUUUUUUUUUUUUAAAUUCUGAAGCCAGACCGUCUUUCCUCACAGCUCCACGGCUGCAUCUCCGUGGGCACGCAAGCUUCCCCUGGUUACCUGAGCUGCUCCUGCCGUCUCCCGCCUGGGCUUCGCCGUGGUGCACCCGAUCCCGGAAUCGUGCGUCUGCGCCCUGCGAAAGAAGGACCUGCUGGCGGAGCUCCGGCCGGGGUCUCCUGCCUCGCAGCUGGGCGAGGGGACUUGGAGGACAGGGUGAAGCUGCAGAAGACCUGGGGUGGGAUGGCUAGAGAGGACGCCAAGGACUGGGGAAGGGGAAGUUAGGAAUACCUUACAUCCAAUGCCCACCCGUGCUCCGCAGGGCAAGGGCAGCCGUCGCCUCGGCCGCGUGCACCCAGCUCAGGCUGUUCCCAGGGAUUUAGUCUGGGGGGACAACCCAUGGCGAGAUGUGGUGGCAUUUUACCUCAGAGUGGAGCUGAAGAUGGAUAAACAAGGUAUCUGAUGUAUCUGCCUGAGAAGGCAGAGCUGGAGAAAGGCGGAGCGAGGGAGCGCGUGAAAAGAAAGAGAUGCCGAAUGCCGGGUGAUUGUCUGCCGCUUGCUGUGCAUUCUCAUUCUAGGGAGGAUGGCAUAAUUUAUAACCCAGCACAUGGAUAGAGGAACUGUAAAUUGUAGUCUGGAUGUCCCCGGCGCUGUCGACGAAGGAACUGAUGGGCUAGGUGACUGUACCAGUGUCCCCAGAGAAAAUCGCAGCCUCGCAGCAUGGAUUUAAAUGCAUGUGCAUGCAUGUAGAGACAUGAAAAAAGGUUUCUGACCAUUUUACACAGGAAGUCUGUCACUUUGCUGGAUCGGGCUUGAUUGCAGCUUGUGUUUUCAGCUCCAGUUCAACACCCAUUUCCUGACUAGUGAGACAGCAUGGCCAAAGCAGCUGCAUGCAGAAUUUUCUUUUUACUGUGAAAGCAAGCCCCCUCUGUUUUAACUCCUUCCAGUUCUGAAUGCUCUGUGCUUUGCUAGGACCGAUUGUGGGGUUUUGUUUUCUUCUUCUACAAAUCCCUGUAAACACAGCUGUAUUCAGUAAUGGCAAAAAAAUUCUAUCCUGUAAAUAGAAAUCUGAUCAAUUUAAUCAAAAUAAAUGUAUCCCAGAUGACUUUGAGACCAG